AAAGGACCAAGCAAUCGAUCACAUUUUCUUAUAAUCGAACACAGACGAUUUUGGAACUACUGUUUUAGUGUUUGAAACACUUGACGAAGGAGAUAUCUUAGCAGCUGCCAGGGCCUGAAAACGUAUUUAAUUCUUAGUAAACUCACUUCACUUACUGAAAAGUCAUGACUGAAUAUAUCUUGAAGAUUCCAUGAUGUUUAUGUUCAUG